ensembl:misc_RNA Metazoa_SRP Metazoan signal recognition particle RNA
GCCGGGCGUGGUGGCGCGCGCCUGUAGUCCUAGCUACUCGGGAGGCUGAGGCUGGAGGAUCGCUUGAGCCCAGGAGUUCUGGGCUGCCGUGUGCUAUGCCGAUCGGGUGGCCGCACUAAGUUCGGCAUCAAUAUGGUGACCCCCUGGGAACGGGGGACCACCAGGUUGCCUAAGGAGGGGUGAACCGGCCCAGGUCGGAAACGGAGCAGGUCAAUAAUUAUUAAUUGUGAUCCACCCUUUUCCCUUCAUUUUCUGUAAAGGUCCAACUCCUAUUAAGAUCAGUCAGUGUCAG